GCCGAGGUGGUGGAAUGGUAGACACGCAGCCUUGAGGUGGCUGUGCCCUAUUGUUGGGCGUGGAGGUUCAAAUCCUCUUCUCGGCACCA
rnacentral:tRNA from 6 species